UGUUCUGUGGCAAAAUUGUUUAAAGUGCCGGACUAGCGAUACGAAGUCGUGGGUUCGAAUCCCAGCAAAACAA
rnacentral:tRNA from 1 species